GGGCGGUUAGCUCAGUUGGUUAGAGCGCCACGUUGACAUCGUGGAGGUCACAGGUUCGAAUCCCGUAUCGCCCACCA
rnacentral:tRNA from 1 species